ACGUUUAAUGGCAGAAUCCUGCGCCGUUAAAGAUCGCCAAAUUUCU
rnacentral:sRNA from 1 species